rnacentral:rRNA from 1 species
GUGGAUUAGAUACCCUAGUAGUCCUAGCCGUAAACGAUGGAUACUAGGCGUUGCGAGUAUCGACCCUCGCAGUGCCGGAGCCAACGCGUUAAGUAUCCCGCCUGGGGAGUACGCACGCAAGUGUGAAACUCAAAGGAAUUGACGGGGGCCCGCACAAGCGGUGGAGUAUGUGGUUUAAUUCGAUGCAACGCGAAGAACCUUACCAAGACUUGACAUGUCGCGAACCCUGAUGAAAGUUAGGGGUGCCUUCGGGAGCGCGAACACAGGUGGUGCACGGUCGUCGACAACU